rnacentral:rRNA from 1 species
CCUACGAGAGGCAGCAGUGAGGAAUAUUGGUCAAUGGUCGGGAGACUGAACCAGCCAAGCCGCGUGAGGGAUGAAGGUACAGAGUAUCGUAAACCUCUUUUGUCAGGGAACAAAGGCGGGGACGCGUCCCCGGAUGAGUGUACCUGAAGAAAAAGCAUCGGCUAACUCCGUGCCAGCAGCCGCGGUAAUACGGAGGAUGCGAGCGUUAUCCGGUUUUAUUGGGUUUAAAGGGUGCGCAGGCGGUUGGUUAAGUCAGCGGUCAAAGCCCGGGGCUCAACCCCGGCCCGCCGUUGAAACUGGCAGUUGCGAGUUGGAGAGAAGUAUGCGGAAUGCGCGGUGUAGCGGUGAAAUGCAUAGAUAUCGCGCAGAACUCCGAUUGCGAAGGCAGCAUGCCGGCUCCACACUGACGCUGAGGCACGAAAGCGUGGGUAUCGAACAGGAUUAGAUACCCUAGUAGUC